rnacentral:tRNA from 2 species
GUAGGCGUAGCGUAGUUGGAUAACGCAUCAGACUCCGACUCUGAAGAUCGCUGGUUCGAAUCCAGUCGUCUACA